GUGCUAAAUAUUCUGGCCUCAUCAGUUAUCUAUCUCUGGGAAAGUUACAUGGUCUGUCAGGCUCUGUCUUUUCCCCCUGAUGGCUAAUAAAUAAAUGGAAGAAAACAAAAAUUGGCUGUUCUGGCCGUGUGGACCUAACCCUUCUGAAGCGAUGGCUGAUAUCACUCUUCCCUCUCUUUCUGCCAGAGGCUGACACUUAUCUUACCCGGUUCACCGUCCCUCAGACAUACAAUUACUCUGUUCUCCUUGUGGAUCCUGCUUCCCAUACACUUUAUGUCGGCGCCCGGGACACCAUCUUCGCUUUGUCUCUGCCCUUCUCAGGGGAGAGACCUCGAAGGAUUGACUGGAUGGUACCUGAGGGAGAAAAACAGAACUGUAUGGCAAAAGGCAAGGAGGAGGACGAAUGUCACAAUUUUGUCCAGAUUCUCGCCAUUGCCAAUGCCUCUCACCUCCUCACUUGUGGCACCUUCGCUUUUGAUCCGAAGUGCGGGGUUAUUGUGAGUGACAGGGGUGGGAGGAUGGGAAGGGUCGUCUGUGAGUGACCAUGAUGGGGGUCAUGCUUAAGGUAACCGAUGUGCAUGAUAAGCAUGGGGGUGAGGGAUGUCCUCACUGGGUGGAGCCUUUGCCACUGGAGGAGGUACGAAAGGGUGGGGAGGGAGGUUGUCUGUAGAAGGUAAGUUAUACAAAGUCUAAAGGGAGAAGUAGUGGGACAGUGAAGGAAGUUAGGGAUGCUAGCUGAGCUGGGGAGAGAAGAAAUCCAGGAGAAACUUCAGAGGUAGUAACUCACGUUUCCCUUGUCUAUGUAUGCUUUGUCCAGGAGCCUGGGUCCAUUUCUUUAUUUUUUUUUUCCUGAAUCCAUUUCUUAAUCAGCACUGUCCAUGCCUA